UUUGUCAGAUUUAUAAUAUUCACACAGCCGUCAGACUAUAACAGAUGGCUGCUUCUUCGUCAUCUGUGAUUGAUCAAGUCAGGCCUCCCGAUAUGCCAAAUUCAUUGGGUGUUGAAGAACAAUCGUUGACUGUUUAUGGGAUUUCGGAAGACAAUAUCAUCACAGGGCCUUGGGUCUUCAUCUCAUCGUGCUCAUGUGAUUAGUCUGAGAUUCCAUUGUUGCCGUAUGCAAAGGACUCUCGGCUUCUAAAUGGCACAGUAAGGUUUCAAGACCUGCAUCAAAGUGCUUAAGAAGUAAAGACCAAGUUAGAGACUUUGGAGGAGCAGGAGUCCUAAUGCCCUGCAAAGGUGCAAAUCAAAACGUUGAUGAAGUUUUUCUCACACUUUACGAGGAGUCUCACACAAAUGAAUCACAACAGCUGCAACGACGUUUUUCUAAGUUUUAGUGUAUUAGCAAGCUCAUAAAUGAAUCCUGAAGAUUAUUUAUAAAAGUUGUAGUUAUCUUUUUUUUUUUUUUUUGUAUGAAAGAUGUUUUUGUAUCUUUGUGGAUUAAGGAUUUAUGAUAGUUUUUUUAAUCGUCAGAUUGGUAACGGAAAAAGCUAAUUAUCUACUCUUUUUUAUGAUUAA